GUCGAACGGUAACAGGUUAAGCUGACGAGUGGCGAACGGGUGAGUAAUGUACCGGAACGUGCCCAGUCGUGGGGGAUAACUGCUCGAAAGAGCAGCUAAUACCGCAUACGACCUGAGGGUGAAAGCGGGGGAUCGCAAGACCUCGCGCGAUUGGAGCGGCCGAUAUCAGAUUAGGUAGUUGGUGAGGUAAAGGCUCACCAAGCCGACGAUCUGUAGCUGGUCUGAGAGGACGACCAGCCACACUGGGACUGAGACACGGCCCAGACUCCUACGGGAGGCAGCAGUGGGGAAUUUUGGACAAUGGGCGCAAGCCUGAUCCAGCCAUGCCGCGUGCGGGAAGAAGGCCUUCGGGUUGUAAACCGCUUUUGUCAGGGAAGAAAAGGUUCUGGCUAAUACCUGGGACUCAUGACGGUACCUGAAGAAUAAGCACCGGCUAACUACGUGCCAGCAGCCGCGGUAAUACGUAGGGUGCAAGCGUUAAUCGGAAUUACUGGGCGUAAAGCGUGCGCAGGCGGUUAUGCAAGACAGAGGUGAAAUCCCCGGGCUCAACCUGGGAACUGCCUUUGUGACUGCAUGGCUAGAGUACGGUAGAGGGGGAUGGAAUUCCGCGUG
rnacentral:rRNA from 1 species